CCAGGAGGUGAAUUAUGUGGUCAACGGCGUAUCGUACGGAGAUGGCAGACGGGUGAGGAACACGUGGGAACAUACCCUUUGGUUCGGAAUAACACUGAGAAAUUUGUGCUAAUACCGGAUAAAUCCGUAACUAGAAAGAUUAUCGCCGAAGGAUUGGCCCGCCCUCCGAUUUAGCUUAUUUUGGUGUGGUAAUGGCGCACCAAGGCGACAAAUCUUUUACCUGGUCUGAAAGGAUGAUCACCCCCCUUGGGACUGAAACACGGCCCAACCUCCUUCGGGAGGCAGCUGGGGGGAAUUUUGGACAAUGGGCGCAAGCCUGAUUCAUCCUUGCCCCGGGAGUGAUAACAGGCCCUAGGGUUGUAAAGUUUUUUCUCCCGCAACAAUAAUAUCGGUACUGGGAAAAGAAGUCCCGGUUAAUUUCUUGUCCCCACCCCCGGAAUAUCGAAGGGGGAUAGCUUUUUUCUAAUUUUAUGGGCUAAAACCUACCCUAUCCGUUUCUUUUAUUUCCAGGAGGGAAAUGUCGAACUCUAACUUCGAAAAUGCCUUUGAAUCUGGCGACUUUUUACCUCGAGAGAAGUGAUGGGUUAUUGCCAAUGUGAGAGGAUAAAAUCUCUAUAUUUUUCCAGAGUACCCCCGGUGGAAAAAGGCGUCUCUAUGGCCUCAAUUCUUUACCUCCUGAGUGGCCAAAAGGGGUGGGUUCAAUACGGGAAUUUCUUCCCCUUGGUUUCCCCCCCCCCUACAACGAUGAUUAACUUCCCGUCCCACCUUUU
rnacentral:rRNA from 1 species